GCUUACCCAUGCAAGUCGAACGAUGAAGCCCAGCUUGCUGGGUGGAUUAGUGGCGAACGGGUGAGUAACACGUGAGUAACCUGCCCUUUCCUCUGGGAUAACUCCGGGAAACCGGUGCUAAUACUGGAUAUGACUCCUUCCUGCAUGGGUUGGGGUGGAAAGAUUUUUUGGGAUUGGAUGGACUCGCGGCCUAUCAGCUUGUUGGUGGGGUAAUGGCCUACCAAGGCGACGACGGGUAGCCGGCCUGAGAGGGUGACCGGCCACACUGGGACUGAGACACGGCCCAGACUCCUACGGGAGGCAGCAGUGGGGAAUAUUGCACAAUGGGCGAAAGCCUGAUGCAGCGACGCCGCGUGAGGGAUGAAGGCCUUCGGGUUGUAAACCUCUUUCAGCUCUGACGAAUCUUUUUGUGACGGUAGGAGCAGAAGAAGCACCGGCUAACUACGUGCCAGCAGCCGCGGUAAUACGUAGGGUGCGAGCGUUGUCCGGAAUUAUUGGGCGUGAAGAGCUUGUAGGCGGUUUGUCGCGUCUGCUGUGAAAUCCCGGGGCUUAACCCCGGGCUUGCAGUGGGUACGGGCAGGCUAGAGUGUGGUAGGGGAGACUGGAAUUCCUGGUGUAGCGGUGGAAUGCGCAGAUAUCAGGAGGAACACCGAUGGCGAAGGCAGGUCUCUGGGCCACUACUGACGCUGAGAAGCGAAAGCGUGGGGAGCGAACAGGAUUAGAUACCCUGGUAGUCCACGCCGUAAACGUUGGGCGCUAGGUGUGGGUCCCAUUCCACGGGGUCCGUGCCGCAGCUAACGCAUUAAGCGCCCCGUCUGGGGAGUACGGCCGCAGGGCUAA
rnacentral:rRNA from 1 species